rnacentral:lncRNA from 1 species
CAGGUGUUGCAGAUUGCACUGCUGUCUGUGCGGCACUUGGGAUCCGAGACCGCGGCCGCCCCCCUGGCGGCUUUCCCACGGGGACUUGCUCCUCUCACCGCAGGAAGGACUGCAUUCCACCUGCUACCUGCUUGCGGCCAGCACAGCAGUGCAUGUCUGUACUGGCUGAAGUGAUUAUUAACUCGUUUAAUGUUAGACAUCAGUAUUAGAGAAGCUCCACUGGAGGACAGCCUCAGUGUGGGGGUUCUCCUGGAGCUGGUAAUGGAUGGAGGCCAGAAGAGUCAGCUCUUAACUUGGAGGAUCACCUUCAUCAAUUUUUUCAUGUGAAAAGAUCUCCUGUGAUCUGAGUACGUAUGCAGACACCCACCACCAACAUGCUGAGCAGAGGAGAAACAGCAGGCACUGGGCCAGGCAUUGAGUGGUGAGUGAGACGAGACAGUUGACUUCCUUUUGGAUGGGCCAUUGCCCAUGGGCAUCACUGCCCUCAUGCCCAUGUUCCUUUUAGAACAGAUGCACCCAGACAAUGCCUGUGGUUGGUAGAUCCAUUUCAACGUGGCACUGUUUUAGCUGCUCUUCAGGCCCACAGCUUUCUCCUAACACCUUUUCAGGAGCCACCCACCUUUGAUCACACUUGCCAGGCUGGCAUGGUGUGUGUGUGUGUGUGUGUGUGAUUCCCACUGUGUGGCCCAGCUCCAUUCCCAUCAUGCCUCAGGGUUCCCUCACAGUGCUGACCCAGAGAGGACCAAAAGAUUCCACAGUAAGAAUCUGGGGUUGAAGCAGGGAGAAGUCAGAGCGAGGCUGUGAAAAUACCCUGCUAAUAGUAGGAGAAAUGUAAAUGAAAACCACUUACCAAAAGAUGCCUUUUAUAGCAUCUACAUUAUUAUACUAACAGAAGUAAAUUGUAUUUUGAUUGUGGCCGGUUGAAAACCACAUCCUACAUGUAUGAGGUAUAUAAUCAGCUUAAUCAGUUGCUGAUCCCAGGACAAUUUCAUCCCAGUGUAUUGGGAGAGUGCAAAUAACAUAGAGUUUAUUCCAUUCUUCUUAGUAAUUUAAAUGUCACUUUGUUAAAUGAACUUGAAGACAGAUUUGCAUUACUUCAAUGCAGGGUUUCCAAUAAUAAUGUAACACUUUUUUCCCCCUUCCAGUACCAAGGCAAUGGCUUAAUGUAAAAAGCAAGUGGUUAAAUGAAAAACAUUUUCCCGAAUGAGUGUCUUUUAGUGCUGUGAUUUGGAGGGGGGAGGGAGGUGGGAUUCUGAGGUCAACUGUAUUUUCAAAGUCUCACCAAAUGCACCAGAUAUUAAGCUAUUGCGUCUUGAUCCAUUUCUCUCAAGCCC